UACGUAGGGGGCAAGCGUUGUCCGGAUUUAUUGGGCGUAAAGAGCGUGUAGGCGGCCAAACAGGUCAGCUGUGAAAACUCGAGGCUCAACCUCGAGACGUCGGUUGAAACCAUCUGGCUAGAGUCCGGAAGAGGAGUGUGGAAUUCCCGGUGUAGCGGUGAAAUGCGCAGAUAUCGGGAAGAACACCCGUGGCGAAGGCGGCACUCUGGGACGGUACCGACGCUGAGACGCGAAAGCGUGGGGAGCGAACAGG
rnacentral:rRNA from 1 species